rnacentral:SRP_RNA from 1 species
CGCGGAGCUGGCGUGGGCGGAGGCCUCGCCAAUCUGGUCAGGGCCGGAAGGCAGCAGCCACAACGAGUUUCCCUUCGGGUCGCGCCAGUCUCCACCGUC